rnacentral:lncRNA from 1 species
UUUGCGCCCGUUCAUGUUGUUGAUCGGAGUUUUGAAAAUUCGUGGAAGUAUUUAAAAAGCGCCCUGUACAGAUUAUGUCAAAUCAUGGCUUCUCCACCUGUUGAUGACAAUGAAACUAAUGACCAUGUUAACAUAAGAGGAAAAGCAAACUGGGAGAAGAAAGGACAUUGUUUUCGAUCUUGAAGGCCUGCGUAGACAUAGGACCAGGAAGGGGAGCUAGGAGUGGGAGAAGUGCCUGUGACUGAUAUAUGCACUAUCAGAUAGAAAUCCAGUUCAAAAGGAAAUCUGAAAUAGUGAAAUAG